GGAUGAGAGGAGCUUGCUCCUUGAUUUAGCGGCGGACGGGUGAGUAAUGCCUAGGAAUCUGCCUGGUAGUGGGGGAUAACGUUCCGAAAGGAACGCUAAUACCGCAUACGUCCUACGGGAGAAAGCAGGGGACCUUCGGGCCUUGCGCUAUCAGAUGAGCCUAGGUCGGAUUAGCUAGUUGGUGAGGUAAUGGCUCACCAAGGCGACGAUCCGUAACUGGUCUGAGAGGAUGAUCAGUCACACUGGAACUGAGACACGGUCCAGACUCCUACGGGAGGCAGCAGUGGGGAAUAUUGGACAAUGGGCGAAAGCCUGAUCCAGCCAUGCCGCGUGUGUGAAGAAGGUCUUCGGAUUGUAAAGCACUUUAAGUUGGGAGGAAGGGCAUUAACCUAAUACGUUAGUGUUUUGACGUUACCGACAGAAUAAGCACCGGCUAACUUCGUGCCAGCAGCCGCGGUAAUACGAAGGGUGCAAGCGUUAAUCGGAAUUUACUGGGCGUAAAGCGCGCGUAAGUGGUUCGUUAAGUUGGAUGUGAAAGCCCCGGGCUCAACCUGGGAACUGCAUCCAAAACCUGGCGAGCUAAAGUACGGUAGAGGGUGGUGGAAUUUCCUGGUGUAGCGGUGAAAUGCGGUANAAUAUAGGAAGGAACACCCAGUGGCGAAGGCGACCACCUGGACUGAUACUGANCUGAGGUGCGAAAGCGUGGGGA
rnacentral:rRNA from 1 species